rnacentral:rRNA from 1 species
AGGACGAACGCUGGCGGCGUGCUUAACACAUGCAAGUCGAGGGGUAACAGGGUAGCAAUACCGCUGACGACCGGCGCACGGGUGAGUAACGCGUAUGCAACCUGCCUAUAACUGGGGAAUAGCUCCCUGAAAGGGGAAUUAACACCGCAUAACACUAUUGAUUCGCAUGGAUUAGUAGUUAAGUGUAGCGAUACAGGUUAUAGAUGGGCAUGCGUGACAUUAGCUAGUUGGUGAGGUAACGGCUCACCAAGGCUACGAUGUCUAGGGGUUCUGAGAGGAAGGUCCCCCCACACUGGUACUGAGACACGGACCAGACUCCUACGGGAGGCAGCAGUGAGGAAUAUUGGUCAAUGGGCGCAAGCCUGAACCAGCCAUGUCGCGUGCAGGAAGAACCUGCCCUAUGGGUUGUAAACUGCUUUUAUAGUAGAAGAAACACAUCUACGCGUAGAUGUCUGCCAGUAUACUAUGAAUAAGCAUCGGCUAACUCCGUGCCAGCCGCCGC